AACAGGAUUAGAUACCCUGGUAGUCCACGCUGUAAACGAUGAUUACUCGGUGCUGGCGAUAUACUGUCAGUGCCUAAGCGAAAGUGAUAAGUAAUCCACCUGGGGAGUACGAUCGCAAGGUUGAAACUCAAAGGAAUUGACGGGGGCCCGCACAAGCGGUGGAGCAUGUGGUUUAAUUCGAUGAUACGCGAGGAACCUUACCUGGGCUUAAAUGCAUAAUGACAGACUGGGAAACCAGUCCUUCUUCGGACAGAAUGCAAGGUGCUGCAUGGCUGUCGUCAGCUCGUGCUGUGAGGUGUCGGGUUAAGUCCCAUAACGAGCGCAACCCCUAUUUCUAGUUGCCAGCACAUAAUGGUGGGGACUCUAGAGAAACUGCCCGCGCAAGCGGUGAGGAAGGUGGGGACGACGUCAAGUCAUCACGGCCCUUACGUCCAGGGCUACACACGUGCUACAAUGGUAGAGACAGAGGGCAGCCACUUGGUGACAAGGAGCUAAUCCUUAAACUCUAUCUCAGUUCGGAUUGAAGUCUGCAACUCGACUUCAUGAAGCUGGAAUCGCUAGUAAUCGCAUAUCAGCCACGAUGCGGUGAAUACGUUCCCGGGCCUUGUACACACCGCCCGUCAAGCCAUGGAAGCUGAGGGUACCUGAAGUCGGUAACCGCAAGGAGCCGCCUAGGGUAAAAUUGGUAACUGGGGCUAAGUCGUAACAAGGUAGCCGUACCGG
rnacentral:rRNA from 14 species